rnacentral:rRNA from 1 species
GACGUGCGCAGGCGGUUAUGUAAGACAGAUGUGAAAUACCCCGGGCCUCAACCUGGGAACUGCAUUAGUGACUGCAUAGCUGGAGUACGGCAGAGGGGGAUGGAAUUCCGCGUGUAGCAGUGAAAUGCGUAGAUAUGCGGAGGAACACCGAUGGCGAAGGCAAUCCCCUGGGCCUGUACUGACGCUCAUGCACGAAAGCGUGGGGAGCAAACAGGAUUAGAUACCCUGGU